rnacentral:rRNA from 1 species
GACGAACGCUGGCGGCGUGCCUAAUACAUGCAAGUCGAGCGGACGGAUGGGAGCUUGCUCCCAGACCGUCAGCGGCGGACGGGUGAGUAACACGUGGGCAACCUGCCUGUAAGACUGGGAUAACUCCGGGAAACCGGGGCUAAUACCGGAUAACUCUUUCCCUCACAUGAGGGAAAGCUGAAAGAUGGCAUCUCGCUAUCACUUACAGAUGGGCCCGCGGCGCAUUAGCUAGUUGGUGAGGUAACGGCUCACCAAGGCGACGAUGCGUAGCCGACCUGAGAGGGUGAUCGGCCACACUGGGACUGAGACACGGCCCAGACUCCUACGGUAGGCAGCAGUAGGGAAUCUUCCGCAAUGGACGAAAGUCUGACGGAGCAACGCCGCGUGAGUGAUGAAGGUUUUCGGAUCGUAAAACUCUGUUGUCAGGGAAGAACAAGUACCGGAGUAACUGCCGGUACCUUGACGGUACCUGACCAGAAAGCCACGGCUAACUACGUG